rnacentral:lncRNA from 1 species
GACCGUGUGUUAUGACAGAUGGAUUUUAAUUUUAAAAGUGACAUGAGAUAAUUAGGCAGUUUAUAAACAAAUAAAAGACAGUCUUUUCCCCUCCUGUCUGCUUGUCAGGUUCCUGCGGAGCUCCGCUCCGGCCACGCCCCCUUCAGCUCACUAACUCUCCCAGCUGCACGCUCAUCAGCUGCAUUCAGGUCCCCAAUCACACAAGCACAUACACCUGUUCCACUCUCUCGCCUCACUCACCAGCACCACGCUCAGUCACCAGAGUACUGAUCAUUCACACCUGUAUCCUCACUCACCUGCACCGCGUUUACACUCACCUGGUUCCUAAUCACCCAUACCUGUCACAGCCCCUACAUAUACCUCACUCGCCCUUCACGCGGUGUCUGGUAUCGCACUUCAACGGAUACACAACCUCGGAUUUCCCGCGACUGGACUCUCAUGAGGUUUACCUACUCUACCGUUUUAGUUUGUAUAAGUUACGUCUAUCGCCUUAGUUCCCCUUUUGCGUAUCAUCCUAGUUAUUGUUUAGUUAGUACCUUGCCGAGUGUGACUCGUGUUUUGUUUGCCGCAGCAGCGUUUCCUCAGUUCCCUCAAGUCCCAGCAGUGCUACAAGCCUGCGCCCCUCCGUGGGUUGUGACUGUGUUCUCAAGGAUUAACCCCUCAGCAUCUCCGUGUCUGCAACCUGUUGUCUGUCAUGUGUGUUCCUGGCUGUCUCUGUCGGCAAUAAACUCUGUUACCAGCAUUUCUAUCUCGAAGUCUGUUCGUUCCGUGACAGAAUACCAGACCAAAAGAGACAGAUGGAUUCAGCCAGCUCUGCCGACGCAUCCGGCUCACGGGUUGGAGCGGCGAUAAGACUACCAUCGUUCUCCGGAUCCACAGCCACAGCCCCCUCUCCCUUCUCCUUUUCCGAUGCCCGUGAGGACUGCUGGACAUUUCUCCUCGAUUGUGCCAUCGCCCUGUCGAGGCUGAAGUAUCAGUACCCCACCGAGCGGUCACGAGUGGCCUACGUCGUCCUCCAGGGACAGGCGCUACUAUGGGCAGCAGCUGUGUGGGAGGGCCCAGAGACUGAGGCACUCCACACGUUCUCGGCACAUCUGAUGGCGAAGUUUGGCCGUCCUGUAAGGGACCCAGUGAUCCAGGCGAACCGCCUCGGACUCCACCAGCAGGUCCUGGAGGAGCUCCGUCGCAGCCUCGCCACCGCAGAUCCGCCUCCUACUGUAUCCGCUGCUCCCACACCUACCUCGCUGAGGGUGACCACCCCAGCUCUCACGCAUCCUCCGCCCAGGACCCAUGAGUUCUGGAUCCAGCCGGAAAUAGUCGGUGUGGGUGAUCAAGCCAUCCGUGAAGAUCUCCUGUACGCCUACUAUGACUCUGAGGAGGAGGAUAUCAGUGAGUGGAUUGAUGGGGACUUUAUCUUGGGGGAUCGGUUCUUUGCGAGAUCAGCCUACGAAGUGAUGGACCCAACUCCCGCUUCUGCUCUGAAGACAACGGCCGCGGCCUCCACUGUUCCCACAGCAACCGCAGUGGCUAGUGAGGCUCCAGUAGCGCCUACGUCUUCAUUUCCAGCCUCUCCUAUGCCAGUGCCAGCAUCUUGCCGGAGGUCGGUUCCAGCACCCCGGCUUACCCCAGCUCCAGAGCCUGCACCUUGCCGGGCUCGACGUCAAGCACCCCGGUUUCCUCCAGGACCAAGGCCUGCCCCUCGCCAGGCUCCUGCUGCAGCAGCUGUGUUGGCAACUCCUGUUGCCACAACCACGGGCCUCACUCCUGCUCCAGGCUGGGCAUCUGCCUCUGCCCCAGUUGAGCCCGCUGCUGCCUCUGCGGAACUCGCCGCGGCCUCAACCUCUGCUGAGCCCACAGCUGCCUCUGCGGUUCCCACGGCAGCCGUGGUGGCCAGUGUUGCUCCAGCACCGCCUAUGUCUUCCCCUCUAGCACCUCCUGCACCUCCCACACCAGUGUCAGUGCCAGCACUUCACCGAGCGCCUGCUGCUGCCUCUGCUGAGCCCGCAGCUGCCUCGGCUGAGCCCGCAGCUGCCCCGGCGGAACCUGCAGCAGCCCCUGCGAAGCCCGCGGCUGCCUCGGCUGCUGCUGAGCCUGCAGCUGUAUCUGCCUCUGCAGAGCCCACAGUUGCCUCAGCCUUGGCUGAGCGCACAGCGGCCUCUGCCCCCGUGGAGCCCGCCAGGGCAGCCGCAUCUGCUGAGCCCGCAGAGGUUCCUGCCGAGCCUGCCAGAGCCUCUACCUCCAUGGGGCCUGCUGCAUCCGCCGCUUCUGAGCACGCAGCCAUCCUUGCCUCUGCUGAACCUGCAGCAAUCGCUGCCUUAGGGGAGAACGCAGCGCCACCUGUCGUUGUCCCGGACAGCGCGGCUACCGCUGUCUCCGUCCCAGAUCACGCAGCCUUCCCCGCUGCCACCGUCAACUCUGCAACCGCCGUUGCGGUCCCGUCUCCGCCGAGAACGGCAGCCGAGAGGUCCUCGCCUCCUGCCACGACUACUCCCGCUUCCGUGGCUCUUCCGGCUACAAAUACAGUCUCCGCAGCUGCCGCUGCUGAUGCUUCCACAGUCACUAAUCCUGCUGGUGACCUAGCACCCCCAGCGGUCCUUGCUGACACUGCAACCCCAGCGGCCUUUGCUGACCCUGCAGCCCCAGCAGCAGCUGACCCUGCAGACCCAGCCGUCGCUGACCCUGCAGACCCAGCCGGCGCUCACCCAUCAGACCCAGCCGCCGCUGACCCUGCAGCCCCAGCCGGCGCUGACCCUGCAGACACAGCCUCCGCAGUCCCUGCAGACCCAGUCGGCGCUCACCCAGCAGACCCAGCCGCCGCAGACCCUGCUGACCCAGCCGCCGCAGACCCUGCAGACCCGGCCGCCGCAGACCCUGCAGACUCGGCCGUCGCCGACCCUGAGGACCCGGAAGACUCAGUCGCCGCCGCCGCCGUCCCAGCCGUCCCAGACGCCUCAGUCCCAGCCGUCGCAGGCACCCCCGUUCCUGCAGUCCCAGGCACCCCCGUUCCUGCAGUCCCAGGCGCCCCAGGCAUCCCUGUCCCAGGUGUCCUAGUCCCAGGUAUCCCAGGUGUCCCUGUCCCAGGUAUCACAGGUGUUCCUGGCCCAGGUGUCCCUAGUUUCCUGAUCCCAGGCAUCUCUGGCCCAGGUGUCCUAGUCCCAGGUGUCUCAGGUGUCCCGGUCCCAGGUAUCACAGGUGUCCCCGGCCCAGGUGUCUCUAGUUUCCUGAUCCCAGGUAUCCCAGGUAUUCCUGUUCCAGUUCCCUUUGACGUCUGGUCCCUUCCAGUCCCCAACCUUCCUGCACCCUUAGUCCCUUUGCCGCUUCUGGCUCAAGCACCAGCAGCACCCUCUGCCGACCCGGACCCCCCAGCAUCCGUUCCCGAUGCUAACCCAGCAGUGGGCGUGAAUAACACCGCUGAGGGGGGCAAGGUUCGUAGGGACGGCACCUCCGACAGCGACGAUGCUCGCGCUGAGGACGUCGCGAAGGGCGAAGCCAAGGAGGCUUCCACCACGACUACCCCAGCUACGGGUGCUGCAACCUCGGCCUUAUCCCUGGUCGACGUCGUCCGAGGCUGGGUUGAGAUUGGUUGCGGUCGCCUCGCUCCUGACAGAGCUCCCAGUCAUCCACCAGAUCUUUGGCCUCUUGCUGGCCGUCCACCCGGCUGGCCACCAGACACUCCGCUCCCGGUCGACCGUCCAACCGGCCGCCCACCAGACAUGUCACCCCUGAUCGGCUGUCCACCAGGCACUACGUCCCUGUUCGGCCGUCCACCAGACAUUCCGCUCCGGUUCGGCCCCGGCUGAAAUGCCCGCCUUGCCCUUGACCCCUCCACCCACCCUGUGGGGAAGUUUAUUUUUAAAAUGUUUUGAUGUUAAGGGCCGUCUGGAAUCCGGCCGUAAAAGGGGGGGUAAUGUCACGUUCCUGCGGAGCUCCGCUCCGGCCACGCCCCCUUCAGCUCACUAACUCUCCCAGCUGCACACUCAUCAGCUGCAUUCAGGUCCCCAAUCACACAAGCACAUACACCUGUUCCACUCUCUCGCCUCACUCACCAGCACCACGCUCAGUCACCAGAGUACUGAUCAUUCACACCUGUAUCCUCACUCACCUGCACCGUGUUUACACUCACCUGGUUCCUAAUCACCCACACCUGUCACAGCCCCUACAUAUACGUCACUCGCCCUUCACGCGGUGUCUGGUAUCGCACUUCAACGGAUACACAACCUCGGAUUUCCCGCGACUGGACUCUCAUGAGGAUUACCUACUCUACCGUUUUAGUUUGUAUAAGUUACGUCUAUCGCCUUAGUUCCCGUUUUGCGUAUCAUCCUAGUUAUUGUUUAGUUAGUACCUUGCCGAGUGUGACUCGUGUUUUGUUUGCCGCAGCGGCGUUUUCCUCAGUUCCCUCAAGUCCCAGCAGUGCUACGAGCCUGCGCCCCUCCGUGGGUUGUGACUGUGUUCUCAAGGAUUAACCCCUCAGCAUCUCCGUGUCUGCAACCUGUUGUCUGUCAUGUG